rnacentral:misc_RNA from 1 species
GGAUUCAUAGAUCUAUUACUAUGAUAGUUAGAGGAGCCUCCAUUCAGAUAACUUGGUCUUGUGGGUGACGAAACCUUUUGGGUUGGAAGGCUAUCUGUUGCCCAUGAUGGAAGGAUUCGAGAAGUAGCAGAAUCUCUGAGAGGAGACUCAUCUGUGUAGUUGUCUAUUUCACGCAAGUCGGAAUCAUCUGAAGAGAUAUCAAUUGCAUCCAUUGGAGAGAAUGUAGAACCAACC